AUGCACGCUGGCGGCGUGCCUAAUACAUGCCAGUCGAGCGAACAGACGAGGAGCUUGCUCCUCUGACGUUAGCGGCGGACGGGUGAGUAACACGUGGAUAACCUACCUAUAAGACUGGGAUAACUUCGGGAAACCGGAGCUAAUACCGGAUAAUAUAUUUAACCGCAUGGUUCAAUAGUGAAAGACGGUUUUGCUGUCACUUAUAGAUUGAUCCGCGCCGCAUUAGCUAGUUGGUAAGGUAACGGCUUACCAAGGCAACGAUGCGUAGCCGACCUGAGAGGGUGAUCGGCCACACUGGAACUGAGACACGGUCCAGACUCCUACGGGAGGCAGCAGUAGGGAAUCUUCCGCAAUGGGCGAAAGCCUGACGGAGCAACGCCGCGUGAGUGAUGAAGGUCUUCGGAUCGUAAAACUCUGUUAUUAGGGAAGAACAAAUGUGUAAGUAACUAUGCACGUCUUGACGGUACCUAAUCAGAAAGCCACGGCUAACUACGUG
rnacentral:rRNA from 1 species